UCAGUAUGUUUAUCAUGUGCACUAUUUUAACCAACUGUGUGUUCAUGGCAUGGUCUGAACUCCCUCCUUGGAACAAAUACGUUGAGUAUACCUUCACCGGUAUUUACACUUUUGAAUCAUUGAUAAAAAUUCUGGCGAGAGGAUUUUGUAUGACGGAAUUCACCUUCCUCCGGGACCCAUGGAACUGGCUAGAUUUUUCUGUUAUUGUCAUGGCAUACAUAACUGAAUUUGUGGACCUGGGCAAUGUAUCAGCCUUACGAACGUUCAGAGUUCUUCGCGCGCUGAAAACAAUCUCAGUCAUUUCAGGUUUGAAGACCAUCGUAGGUGCCCUUAUCCAGUCAGUUAAGAAACUUGCCGAUGUGAUGAUCUUGACCGUUUUUUGCUUGAGUGUUUUCGCCCUCAUAGGGCUCCAACUCUUCAUGGGAAAUCUGAGGCAGAAGUGUGUCCGGAAGUUUAACACCACCAUUAACGGCACAUUCAUACCGGACGAGGCGAGGUGGCCAUCCUUAGAUGCUUUUUUAAAUGAUGCAGAUAACUACUUCAAAAAAGAGGGCACCAUGGACGCACUACUUUGUGGCAACAGCACGGAUGCUGGUUCAUGUCCGGACGAUUACAUCUGUCUAAAGGCUGGUGACAAUCCUGACUUUGGGUACACAAGCUUUGAUACCUUUGGCUGGGCCUUCCUCUCCUUGUUUCGCCUCAUGACGCAGGAUUGCUGGGAACGCCUCUAUCAACAGACGCUUAGAUCUGCUGGCAAGAUCUACAUGCUGUUUUUCAUGCUGGUCAUCUUUCUGGGCUCCUUUUACCUGAUCAACUUGAUCUUGGCUGUGGUGGCCAUGGCCUACGAAGAGCAGAACCAGGCCACCAUUGCCGAAAUGGAAGCGAAGGAGAGGAAGUUUCAAGAAGCCAUGGAGGCUCUCAAGAAAGAGCAGGAGGCAUUAGCCCGAGGAAUCGAUUCGAUGUCACUUAGCUCAUUUGAAAUGUCACCUUUGGCAUCGAAAAAUUCCAAGGAACGAAGAAGCCGGAGAAGAAAGAAGAAAUCCUCAGCGGGAGAAGAGGAUGGGGAAGAUCAGAAAGGUCCAAAAUCUGAAUCGGAGGAUGGUCAGCAGAGGACGACUGUGCUGGGUUUUACUUCUGGGUCCAUGGAAAACUCCGUGAAGCGCAAGGCCAGCCACGGGAGCGUCUUCAGCUUCCGGUUGCGCAGCAGGGACCUUGGCUCAGAGGCGGACUUCGCCGAUGACGAUAUCAGCACCGUCGGGGAGAGCGAGAGCCAGCGUGGGUCCCUACUGGUCCCCAGGAGCGGGAGGCGGCUGAGCGUGCAGAGCCAAACCAGCCACAGCUCUCCAAACUACACGCAAAAUGGCAAGAGGAACAGCUCGGUGGAUUGCAACGGUGUGGUUUCACUGAUUGGAGGAGGAGGAGGAGGAAGCACGGACCCAACGACUCCGACAGACGUGCUGUUGCCACCAGUUAUUACGGAGAAACCUGGAACAGGUGACACGACCACUCCAUCUGAAGAAGUGAACAAGAAGCAGCUUCUGUCACCCCACCGCCUUUCUGUGGAUCAAUCUGAGGAACGUUUCCAAAGGCAACGAGCUGUGAGUGCUGUCAGCAUCAUUACCAGUGCCAUGGAAGAGCUUGAGGAAUCCCAACAGAAGUGUCCCCCCUGCUGGAAUCAUUUUGCCGUCCGCUUUCUCAUUUGGGAGUGUUGCCCGCUGUGGCUGCUGAUCAAGAAGAAAGUGAGGUUCAUCAUCAUGGACCCGUUCAGUGACCUCACCAUCACCCUUUGCAUUGUGAUGAACACUCUUUUCAUGGCCAUGGAUCACUACAAGAUGACGGAGGAAUUUGAGAACGUGCUCAACAUCGGUAAUCUGGUCUUCACUGGGAUUUUUACGGCUGAAAUGGUCUUCAAACUCAUAGCUCUGGAUCCCUAUUACUACUUUCAGCAGGGCUGGAAUAUUUUUGACAGUAUAAUUGUCACGCUAAGCCUGAUGGAACUAAGUCUUUCCAGCAUGGGAAAUGUGUCUGUGUUACGCUCCUUCAGACUGCUGAGGGUCUUCAAGCUCGCGAAGUCUUGGCCGACCUUAAACACUCUCAUUAAAAUCAUCGGGAACUCUGUGGGCGCUCUGGGGAACCUCACUCUCGUUCUCGCCAUCAUCGUCUUCAUUUUCGCCGUGGUUGGCAUGCAGCUCUUUGGGGACCUGUACUACAAGCACGUCACAAGAAUCAGCACCACGGAUCGGUUGCCCCGCUGGCACAUGAACGACUUCUUCCAUUCCUUCCUCAUCAUCUUCCGCAUCCUCUGUGGCGAAUGGAUCGAGACCAUGUGGGACUGUAUGAAAGUGGCCGGGCAGCCUCUGUGUCUUCUGGUCUUUUUACUGGUCAUGGUGAUUGGCAACCUGGUGGUGUUGAACCUGUUCCUUGCCUUGCUGUUGAGCUCCUUCAGUGCCGAUAACCUUUCCGCUCCGGAUGAAGACGGGGAGAUGAACAACCUGCAGCUCGCCUUUGCGCGCAUCAACAGGGGGCUCAAUUACGCCAAACGCGCCAUGUGGGAUUUCUGUUGCAGCGUCCUCAGGCAGCCGAAGGCGACGGCUGAAAAAAAAGCCAUGAUGAAGCUUGCAGCUCAGAACCCAGCCGUCGUCCACAACUGCGUCAACAACCACACGGGCAUGGAGUUUGGCAAGGAAGAGGACCACCACAAGGAGAACCACACUGGUGGCGACGGGGUUGAGGGAAACCGGGAGAAGCAGCAGGUGGACCACAACGAUGACUUCAUGACCAACCCAAACUUGUCCAUCUGUGUCCCCAUUGCUCCGGGAGAGUCUGACAUUGAGGAUGAUGAGCAGAGCACAUUUACGGAAACGGACCAGGACAAACAACAGCAACUGAAAGGGCAGCGCUACAAAAGCCCAGCUGUUCGGAGUCAGGCCUCUGAGAUUUGCGAAGAGUUAAGUGAGUUGCAAACGGACAAACAGUCAAAGGACGAGCCUCCGGUCCCGCCAGUAGGGGAACAAGAGAAGUUUGAUGAAAUCAGUCUGUCGGAAGGAAGCACAGUGGACCUGGCAAUCCCGCCAGAGCUUCUGGAGCAGAUGCCUGAGCUGGCAGAAGAGAUGAUGGAACCAGAAGACUGUUUCCCAGAACCUUGUGUCCGAUUCUUCCCGUGCUGUUCAGUAGACACCACAAAAUUUCCUGGCAAGAUUUGGUGGAGACUGAGGAAAACGUGCUACCAAAUAGUUGAACACAGCUGGUUUGAAACUUUCAUCAUAUUUAUGAUUCUCCUGAGCAGUGGAGCUCUGGCAUUUGAAGACAUCUACCUCGACAAGAAAAAGAACAUUAAAACCAUGUUGGAAUAUGCUGACAAGAUCUUCACUUACAUCUUUGUUCUAGAGAUGCUUCUGAAAUGGGUAGCUUAUGGCUUUAAGAAGUACUUCACCAAUGCCUGGUGUUGGCUUGAUUUCCUCAUUGUAGAUAUUUCAGUUAUUUGCCAGAUAGGAUCAAUUCUCGGCUAUGACCACCUGGCCGCUAUGAAAUCCCUCAGGACGCUGAGGGCCUUGAGGCCCCUCCGAGCCCUGUCCCGAUUUGAGAGCAUAAGGGUCUCAUUAGUAAGCCUCAUAGCUAGUACACUUGGAUACUCCGAAAUGGGUCCCAUUAAAUCCCUUAGGACCCUCAGAGCUCUGAGACCCUUAAGAGCACUAUCACGAUUUGAAGGGAUGAGGGUGGUGGUCAAUGCUUUGGUAGGCGCCAUCCCUUCUAUCAUGAACGUCCUGCUUGUCUGCCUUAUCUUCUGGCUCAUCUUCAGCAUCAUGGGAGUCAACUUGUUUUCUGGGAAGUUUGGGAAAUGCAUUAACAACACGAUAGGUGAUGACCCUAUGAACCAAACAUUGGUCAACAACAAGAGCGAUUGCCAAAACUUGAAUGAGACUGGAGAGCUGUACUGGACAAAAGUGAGGGUCAACUUUGAUAAUGUUGGCGCAGGCUACCUGGCUCUGCUGCAGGUGGCAACUUUUAAAGGUUGGAUGGAAAUUAUGUAUGCUGCGGUGGAUUCACGAGAGCGUGAGGAGCAGCCCGUCUGGGAAUAUAACUUGUACAUGUACCUCUACUUUGUGAUCUUUAUCAUCUUUGGCUCCUUCUUCACUCUGAAUCUCUUCAUCGGUGUUAUCAUUGACAAUUUCAAUCAGCAAAAGAAAAAGUUAGGUGGACAAGACAUCUUUAUGACGGAGGAACAGAAAAAAUAUUACAAUGCCAUGAAAAAACUGGGAUCCAAGAAACCCCAAAAACCCAUCCCACGGCCAGUGAACAAGUAUCAAGGCUUCAUUUUUGAUGCCGUCUUGAAUCAAGCCUUUGAUGUCUGCAUCAUGCUCCUCAUCUGCCUCAACAUGGUCACCAUGAUGGUGGAAACGGAUGACCAGAGCCCAGAAAAAGUGAACAUCCUUUACAAAAUCAACAUGGUCUUUGUUGCCAUCUUCACUGCAGAGUGCAUAUUAAAAAUGGUGGCUCUGAGGCACUACUAUUUCACCAACGGGUGGAACAUUUUUGAUUUUGUCGUCGUAAUUCUAUCAAUAGUGGGCUCUGUACUUUCUGACAUCAUCCAGAAAUACUUCUUCUCCCCUACCCUCUUCAGAGUCAUUCGCUUGGCUCGGAUUGGCCGGAUCCUGAGACUUAUAAGAGGGGCCAAAGGAAUCCGAACUCUUCUCUUUGCCUUAAUGAUGUCCCUCCCUGCGUUGUUCAACAUCGGCCUCCUGCUUUUCCUGGUCAUGUUCAUUUAUGCCAUUUUCGGCAUGGCCAACUUUGCCUACGUUAAGCAAGAGCACGGGAUCGACGACAUGUUCAACUUCCAGACGUUUCCCAACAGCAUGCUCUGUCUCUUCCAAAUCACUACAUCCGCCGGCUGGGAUGGUCUCCUCAGCCCCAUUUUGAACACCGGGCCGCCAUAUUGUGAUCCAAGCCAUAUCAACACAAAUGGCUCGAGGGGAAACUGUGGCAGCCCCGCAGUGGGAAUUCUGUUCUUUGUUACUUAUAUCAUUAUAUCCUUUCUCAUUGUUGUAAACAUGUACAUAGCUAUUAUUUUAGAGAACUUCAGUGUCGCUACUGAAGAGAGCACAGAGCCUCUAAGCGAGGACGACUUUGAUAUGUUUUAUGAAAUAUGGGAGAAAUUUGACCCCGAAGCCACUCAGUUUAUUGAGUACGCCGCGCUUUCCAACUUCGCGGACGCUCUGUCAGAACCUUUACGCAUUGCGAAACCAAAUAAGAUCAAGCUCAUAGCUAUGGACCUCCCCAUGGUGAGUGGGGACAGGAUCCAUUGCUUAGAUAUUUUGUUUGCUUUCACCAAAAGAGUGCUGGGGGAGUCUGGGGAGAUGGACGCCCUCAAGAUACAGAUGGAGGAGAAAUUCAUGGCUGCCAACCCCUCGAAGAUUUCUUACGAACCCAUCACAACCACGCUCAGGCGGAAACAGGAAGAAAUUUCUGCCAUCGUCAUUCAGAGAGCCUACAGGAGCCAUCUCUUCCAACGCACCCUCAAGCAGGCCUCCUUCCUAUACCGCCAAAAAGCCUGCCACCUAGGGGAGGACGCUCCCGAGAGGGAAGGCCUCAUUGCGUUCAUGAUGAGCGAGAACUAUGGGAGGCCGAUAAACAAGUCAGAAACUCUGUCCUCCACCUCCUUCCCUCCUUCCUACGACAGCGUCACCAGGGGCACCAGCGACAACUUCCAGCUAAGGUUGACCGACUCUAGCAAAAGCGACGAGCAUCUAGACGACCAGCUGUCGCCCGACAGAGACAAAGAGUCGAUGGUUUAAAAAAAUAUAUAUUGAGUUUUUCAUUUAGGACACUUUAAGAAUAUUGUUUACAGAAUGUAACCACACAACAGUUGAAGCAGCCUUGUUAAACAUUAGUUGCAAAGGACGCAGGAAGGGAGGUCAGCCCUGCAGCAGGAGACACCCGCCUGGAAUCAUCAGCCGCUUCCUGGCAGUUGAUAACCAAGGGAGCACAGAAGGAAGGAAGUGACGUCACAUAAAGCAAGACAUGGGUUGCAUUUUAUUUUUAUUUUUGUUCUAUCCUGCAGGAUAUUAGACACUAAUGGAUUCUGCUUGUAAACCUGCCAAUAAAAGCACUAUUUUUUUACCAUG